rnacentral:lncRNA from 1 species
GCAUUUCUGAGUUUUUCACUUUAUUCUCAGUUAAACCUCACUAAAAACUAGAAAGAAGAUGUAGGUAAGUCUAAGAGGAACGAAAGACCUGAAAGGUGACAUGAAUUCCAAACGUGACCGUCAAGGACAGCGAAGUCACAAGGUGCGAAGGAAGUCACCGUGGCGCGGGUUUCCCACCCCGCGCCUCUCCCUUUCGGGGAAGCCCCAGAACCGCUUCUCAGGCCCUCGGUGGCCGCCCAGCGGCUUCCUGAGGCAGGAACAGCGUGAGCGGGCGGCUACCGCGGGCCGAGACGACGGGAACUGGGGCACCAGGUAGGCAGUGCCAAGCGCCCUCCGACCCAGACCCCUCCGGGGCUGCCGGGGCUGAAGGGCUCCCGCGGUAGCGCUCGGUGCGAGCGGAUCACUGCAGCGAAUCAUUGCCUGGGGUCAAAUGUUUGCAGAGAAGAGCAGCUGAGUCUGGUGGGACCCGAUGGUCAAGCUUUGGAAACAUGGCUGUACCCUCCCAGGGUGUGUAUUGGUUAUGAAAGAAGGACCCGGUGCUACAGUGUGUGCAGACGGACAUACAGCACUGGGGAGCAGACAGUUCACGGGCGCUGCCCCGGCUGGAGCCCAUGGGCUGAUGAACUGGGCAACUGCACCGUAAUGAGGUCAUCUGCGUCUUUGAAAUGUCUCUUGACUCCUGGUUGUCAGGGGAGAACGUCCAUCUAA